rnacentral:rRNA from 1 species
UCCCCCUGAAUUUAAGCAUAUUAAUAAGCGGAGGAAAAGAAACUAACAAGGAUUCCCUCAGUAGCGGCGAGCGAACGGGGAAGAGCCCAGCGCUGAACCCCGCGGCCUUGUUGUGUGGCCGCGUGGAAUGUAGCGUUCGGGAGCGUCCGUAAUCCCGCGGUCGUGCGGCGCGUCCAAGUCCUUCUUGAACGGGGCAACUGACCCAUAGAGGGUGCCAGGCCCGUAGCGACCGCCGCCGUUCGCGGGAGGACGUCUCCUUAGAGUCGGGUUGCUUGAGAGUGCAGCCCUAAGCGGGUGGUAAACUCCAUCUAAGGCUAAAUACAACCACGAGACCGAUAGAAAACAAGUACCGUGAGGGAAAGUUGAAAAGAACUUUGAAGAGAGAGUUCAAUAGUACGUGAAACCGUUCAGGGGUAAACCUGAAAAACCCGAAUGAUCGAGACGCGGAGAGAUUCAAUCGCGUCGCGGUCGUCCGGCGUCUAGAAGCGCCGCGACGGGCUCCGUUUCGACGGCGUCCGCCGGUCUUCUUGCGUUCGGCGCCGUACGCGUGCACUUCUCUCCUCGUAGGUCGUCGCGACCCGUCGGGCGCCGGUCUAAGGUUCUCGCGGUAGCCCGUGCGGUCGGCUCGCGCCGAUCCGCUCGGACCCGAGAAGACCCGGCCGGCUCGUCCGGCGGUACUAAAAGACGAGGGGCCGCGAAAACGUUCGCGCUCGACCCGUCGCGAGUGCGGUCGGUACCUCGACCGGUUCGGAUCUUUCGAUCCGUACCAGAGGCCGGCCCGCUGUCGGCGACGGUGUUCUCGAGCAGACCCUUCUUCGCGUCGUGUAGUAUUAUUAAUAAUGCACGCACGUCAGUCUGCGACGCGUUAGCUUUGGGUAAUUUCAGGACCCGUCUUGAAACACGGACCAAGGAGUCUAGCAUGUGCGCGAGUCAUGAGGUCAGAUAAAGAAACCUAAAGGCGAAAUGAAAGUGAAGGCCCGCCUGGCGCGGGCCUAGGGAGGAUGGGCCGCGCUCGUCGCGGCCUCGCACUCCCGGGGCGUCUCGUUCUCAUCGCGAGAAGAGGCGCACCUAGAGCGUACACGCUGGGACCCGAAAGAUGGUGAACUAUGCCUGGUCAGGACGAAGUCAGGGGAAACCCUGAUGGAGGUCCGUAGCGAUUCUGACGUGCAAAUCGAUCGUCGGAACUGGGUAUAGGGGCGAAAGACUAAUCGAACCAUCUAGUAGCUGGGUUCCUUCCGAA